rnacentral:rRNA from 1 species
UGGGGAAUAUUGCACAAUGGGCGCAAGCCUGAUGCAGCCAUGCCGCGUGUGUGAAGAAGGCCUUCGGGUUGUAAAGCACUUUCAGCGAGGAGGAAGGUGGUGGACUUAAUACGUUCAUCAAUUGACGUUACUCGCAGAAGAAGCACCGGCUAACUCCGUGCCAGCAGCCGCGGUAAUACGGAGGGUGCAAGCGUUAAUCGGAAUUACUGGGCGUAAAGCGCACGCAGGCGGUUUGUUAAGUCAGAUGUGAAAUCCCCGGGCUCAACCUGGGAACUGCAUUUGAAACUGGCAAGCUAGAGUCUCGUAGAGGGGGGUAGAAUUCCAGGUGUAGCGGUGAAAUGCGUAGAGAUCUGGAGGAAUACCGGUGGCGAAGGCGGCCCCCUGGACGAAGACUGACGCUCAGGUGCGAAAAGCGUGGGGAGCAAACAGGAUUAGAUACCCCUGGUAGUCCACGCUGUAAAACGAUGUCGAUUUUGGAGGUUGUGCCCUUGAGGCGUGGCUUCCGGAGCUAACGCGUUAAAUCGACCGCCUGGGGAGUACGGCCGCAAGGUUAAAACUUAAAUGAAUUG